rnacentral:misc_RNA from 1 species
GAAAUGCGAUAAGUAAUGUGAAUUGCAGAAUUCCGUGAAUCAUCGAAUCUUUGAACGCACAUUGCGCCCUCUGGUAUUCCGGGGGGCAUGCCUGUCCGAGCGUCAUUGCACACCCUCAAGCGCGGCUUGUGUGUUGGGCCCCCGCGUCCUUGCCAUUUAAAGGACGGGCCCGAAAGGCAGUGGCGGCGUCGCGGUUAUCCGAUCAGCCAGAGCGUAUGGGGACGCUACAGUCACACGCUCGCGGCGCGGACCGGCGCUGGCCGACCCCCCUAACCAUUCUACGGUUUGACCUCGGAUCAGGUAGGGAUACCCGCUGAACUUAAGC